rnacentral:rRNA from 1 species
UGGGGAAUAUUGCACAAUGGGCGAAAGCCUGAUGCAGCGACGCCGCGUGAGGGAUGACGGCCUUCGGGUUGUAAACCUCUUUCAGUAGGGACGAAGCGCAAGUGACGGUACCUGCAGAAGAAGCACCGGCUAACUACGUGCCACCAGCCGCGGUAAUACGUAGGGUGCGAGCGUUGUCCGGAAUUACUGGGCGUAAAGAGCUCGUAGGCGGUUUGUCACGUCGUCUGUGAAAUCCUAGGGCUUAACCCUGGACGUGCAGGCGAUACGGGCUGACUUGAGUACUACAGGGGAGACUGGAAUUUCUGGUGUAGCGGUGGAAUGCACAGAUAUCAGGAAGAACACCGAUGGCGAAGGCAGGUCUCUGGGUAGUAACUGACGCUGAGGAGCGAAAGCAUGGGUAGCGAACAGG